UACGGAGGGAGCUAGCGUUGUUCGGAAUUACUGGGCGUAAAGCGUGCGCAGGCGGCUUUGCAAGACAGAUGUGAAAUCCCCGGGCUCAACCUGGGAACUGCAUUUGUGACUGCAAGGCUGGAGUACGGCAGAGGGGGAUGGAAUUCCGCGUGUAGCAGUGAAAUGCGUAGAUAUGCGGAGGAACACCGAUGGCGAAGGCAAUCCCCUGGGCCUGUACUGACGCUCAUGCACGAAAGCGUGGGGAGCAAACAGG
rnacentral:rRNA from 1 species